GUGCUCGCUUUGGCAGCACAUAGACUAAAUUUGGAACGAUACAGAGAUUAGUACAGCCCCUGUGCAAGGAUGACACACAGUUUCCUGUGCCAAAACAUUGUCAC
ensembl:snRNA U6 U6 spliceosomal RNA